GUCCAGGGUAGCCUAGUGGACAUGGCAUCUGCCCGGUAAGCGGAACACUGUGGGUUCGAUUCCCAUUCCUGCACA
rnacentral:tRNA from 1 species